rnacentral:tRNA from 1 species
AGGCAGAUGGUUUAGGGGUUCCAGACGGGCAAAAACCGCCCUCCGCCUUCUAAGCGGACGGUCACAGGUUCGAAUCCUGUCGCGG